AUGGCCUGCUCACUGACAAGGUUUUAAAGAGCCGCGGUAUUUUGACCGUGCAAAGGUAGCAUAAUCAUUAGUCUCUUAAUUAGGGGCUGGAAUGAAUGGCUUGACGAGAAAUCAACUGUCUCUUAUUAAAUUUUAGAAUUUAACUUUUGAGUUAAAAGGCUUAAAUUUAUCUUAAAGACGAGAAGACCCUAUAGAGCUUGACAUUUUAUUUUUAUAUAAUUUUUAGUUAGUUUUUUUUUAUAUUUGAAGAUAAUGUUUUGUUGGGGUGACAUGAAGGAUAAAUAAACUCUUCAUUAUAAAAUCAUUGAUUUAUGUUUAUAAUGAUCCAUAAUUUAUGAUCAUAAGAUUAAGUUACCUUAGGGAUAACAGCGUAAUUGUUUUUGAGAGCUCAUAUCGACAAAGCAGAUUGCGACCUCGAUGUUGGAUUAAGAAUAAUUUUGGGUGCAGAAGCCCAAUAAUUA
rnacentral:rRNA from 1 species